rnacentral:lncRNA from 1 species
ACGCGGGCGGCCUACUGUCGGGUGUGGCCGCGAGGGGCGGCCUAUAUAAGCUCUUGCUCGCGGCUUCAGCGCCCUUUCUCCCCGCCGCAUUCCCGGUGUCGACUUACUAGCUGCAAGCCUCUGCCUGCCUUCCUGCGCGCCGUUCCCCGCUAGUCGCUGCUGCUGGCGCGCACUCGCCGGGUUUUUCCUCCCACGGCCUCGAGAUGGUGGUGAAUGUGGCACGGAGGAGCCGGGCCUUCCAACCCGGUGGGCCCGAGCUCCGAAAGGCCCCCUCGGCAGUGAGAGGGGCGGGAGCCCGCGGGGGCCGCGCCCUUCUCUCGCUUCGGACUGCGCAACGCUGCGCUCUGGGCUGACAGGCGGAUAAAACGGUCCCAUCAAGACUGAGAAAAAGCACACCAGCUAUUGGCACAGCGUGGGCAGUGGGGCCUACAGGAUGACUGACUUAGUCUACAGAGAUCCCGGCGUACUUAAGCAGAUGAAGACUCUUAAGAUGACAGAAGGUGAUUUUUCUGGUGAUCGAGGACUUCCGGGGUAAUGACAGUGAUGAAAUGCAGGGGACCUGGUAGGUUUCUUUUGGAGACUAACUGGGGGCUGCCUGGUGGGACAGAACAGCAUGUUUCCAAGGGCUGUGGCUGGUCAUAGCCAUGGGAUCUCCAACUGCAUGCAAGAGCAACCUGGAAAGACUUUGACAGCGCAGGUUGGCUAGAUGGGUCUCGAACUUCUGACCUCGGGUGAUCCGCCCGACUCGGCCUCCCCUUCCAAAGUGCUGGGAUUACAGGCAUGAGCCACCGCUCCUGGCCAGUUUAGUUUUCACGCUAAGCUUUUUGUUCUGCAGGUUGCCCCCAAGUUUCCUGGCAGUGUGUGAUACUGAGGAGGUGAGCUUGUUUCUGGAGCUGUGCUUUAAGGUAAAGUUGAUCAGCUUAAUCCUCCUGAUCCCUUUCCCAUCGGAUCUGAACACUGGUCUUGGUGGUCGUAAAAGGAGGAAAAGUAAUAGUGAAGCUGGCCUAAAUGUUGUAAUCUGGUAUAUGGCAUGUGGGCUAGUUUCAGACAGGUUUCAGAGAUGGUUGGAUCUCUGAAAUUGUAAAAUGAAGUAUAAUCUUAGGCUAAGGGAAGGAUGCGUGUGAAGCUCUGGAGGUUGGUAUAGUAAUAGCUGACCUAUUACUGCAUUUGGGAGGGAUCUGUCAUAGCUUCCUUGCCUCUUAAUUAAGGGUGGUGUUUUUUUCUUUUAGAUUCAUGUUACAUGUAAAGCUGUCCUCAUUUGUGACUAUGGACCUAUGGAGUUGGGACAAUCUCUAUGGGAAGCAGAAGGCAAGGACCCCGGUCAUUUUAGGUAGAAACAACAGCAUGCUAAUGCAAAAAAUUAUGCAGUGUGCUACUGAACUUCAGAGGUGAUCAAUAAAAGAAGAAUAAAAAGACUAAUAAAAGUAUAUUUGUGUUUGUAUUUUUUUGUAGAGACCGAACUGGUCUCUU